UUUCAGUUGUGUAAGAUGAAAAAGUUCAGAAGAUCGGUUGCAUAACAAUGUGAAUGUGCUGACCACUACUGGACAGGAGAUAUAAAGAUAGUUACGAAGGGAGAAUGGGCCCUGGAAUUCUAUGAUUUCAUGGACAUCAAUGUUCUGCAGGAGCACCGUUUAAGAACCAGAUAAUAGAAGGAGGAUAAAAGAGAGUGAUUUGCUGGCAGCCC
rnacentral:lncRNA from 1 species